GAUUGCAGAAUUCAGUGAAUCAUCGAAUCUUUGAACGCACCUUGCGCUCCUUGGUAUUCCGAGGAGCAUGCCUGUUUGAGUGUCAUU
rnacentral:rRNA from 1 species